rfam:Picea glauca, whole genome shotgun sequence.
ACAUGCCUACAACAUAGCGUUAAUGCAUUGGAUCCAAUUAGAACUCUGCAGUUUAGCGCGCUCGGGCUAGAGUAGUACUGGGAUGGGUGAUCGCCCGUGAAGUCCUAGUGUUUUACAUGCA